rnacentral:rRNA from 1 species
UACGGAGGGUGCGAGCGUUAAUCGGAAUUACUGGGCGUAAAGGGCGCGUAGGCGGUGGGUUACGUCUGCCGUGAAAUCCCCGGGCUCAACCUGGGAAUGGCGGUGGAAACGGGCUGACUGGAGUAUGGGAGAGGGUGAUGUAAUUCCAGGUGUAGCGGUGAAAUGCGUAGAGAUCUGGAGGAACACCAGUGGCGAAGGCGGUCACCUGGCCCAAUACUGACGCUGAGGAGCGAAAGCGUGGGGAGCGAACAGG